CAUGCAAGUCGAGCGGACCAAUUAGAAAGCUUGCUUUUUAAUUGGUUAGCGGCGGACGGGUGAGUAACACGUGGGUAACCUGCCCUAUAGACCGGGAUAACUCGCGGAAACGCGUGCUAAUACCGGAUAACACACCGAAGCGCAUGCUUCGGGGUUGAAAGAUGGUUCUGCUAUCACUAUAGGAUGGGCCCGCGGCGCAUUAGCUAGUUGGUGGGGUAACGGCCUACCAAGGCGACGAUGCGUAGCCGACCUGAGAGGGUGAUCGGCCACACUGGGACUGAGACACGGCCCAGACUCCUACGGGAGGCAGCAGUAGGGAAUCUUCCACAAUGGGCGAAAGCCUGAUGGAGCAACGCCGCGUGAGCGAAGAAGGUCUUCGGAUCGUAAAGCUCUGUUGUAAGGGAAGAACAAGCGCAGCAGUCACUGGCUGCGCCCUGACGGUACCUUACUAGAAAGCCACGGCUAACUACGUGCCAGCAGCCGCGGUAAUACGUAGGUGGCAAGCGUUGUCCGGAAUUAUUGGGCGUAAAGCGCGCGCAGGCGGUCUCUUAAGUCUGAUGUGAAAGCCCCCGGCUCAA
rnacentral:rRNA from 1 species